rnacentral:rRNA from 1 species
CCCGGCGACCGGCGCAUGGGUGAGUAACACGUAUGGAACCUGCCCGCAGCAGGGGGAUAAGCGGAAGAAAUUCCGUCUAAUACCGCGUAACACCGCGGAGGGGCAUCCCUCGGCGGUUAAAGAUUCAUCGGCUGCGGAUGGCCAUGCGGCGCAUUAGCUAGUCGGCGGGGUAACGGCCCACCGAGGCGACGAUGCGUAGGGGUUCUGAGAGGAAGGUCCCCCACACUGGUACUGAGACACGGACCAGACUCCUACGGGAGGCAGCAG